GAUCGCUUCAGCGGCAGGAUAUUAAAAUUGGAAAGACAGAGAAGACCAGCACGGCCCCUUUGCAAGGACGGCAUGUGAAUUCAUGCAGAGUUAGCUAUUUUU